UACGUAGGGGGCAAGCGUUGUCCGGAUUUAUUGGGCGUAAAGAGCGUGUAGGCGGUUAGGGAGGUCCGUUGUGAAAACUCGAGGCUCAACCUCGAGACGCCGAUGGAAACCAUCUAACUAGAGUCCGGAAGAGGAGAAUGGAAUUCCUGGUGUAGCGGUGAAAUGCGCAGAUAUCAGGAAGAACACCCGUGGCUAAGGCGGUUCUCUAGUACGGUACUGACGCUGAGACGCGAAAGCGUGGGGAGCAAACAGG
rnacentral:rRNA from 1 species